GAGAAAGCCAGUAAUUACUUGCUGUACAGGCUCUGGAGCGGGUACAAAGGAAGUGUAAGCUCAGCCCUCCCUGAGAAAAGCAAAUCCGCAAAAGGAGACAACCACCUCGUACCAACCAAGAUACGAAUCCAGGGACAACUGCACUUUCAUUAUGAACAGCUGGAUCAUAAAGAGUCAACAGAACCAUCUGGAGUCCUUUAGGGAAGAUGACAAUGGCUGUGUCAGUGCUAUUUACUGCAUAAGAAUUAUGAAGCUUAAGUGGGGAAGCUGCUGCUGGGAGCCUCCAGAGGCGGGUUUGAGUUGGAAAUACACUCAAGGAGGCGUGCCAUUUCUGGAACCUGAGGCAAACGCUCUCUUUUUUUCUACUUGGACAGGGCUUUGUCAAUUCCGAUUGGAAUGUCGUGGUCUUCUCCUUCGCCAACUAUGAACCCCACAUCUCUGCAAUCAAACAUCCUUCCACCACAGCGGCCUUCCAGGUGGACUGAGGGAGAGAAGGACAGUCAACAG